GUGAAACAUUGUUUUGCCAAAAUGGAUGAUUAAUCAAAGGUAAGUAGGUAACACAUACAUAAUAUAAUUAGUGUGCCUGCCUCUCUGUCUUUCUCUGUGUUUAGAUAAGUCAGACUGUUGAAACAGGAGCAGAGGAGUCACAGGGAGAUCAGGCAGUUGUAGGCUAUUUUAGUCGCCCUCAUUCAACAAAGAGGCAGGAAUUCUUUAAGUUUCACCCACAACAGAAGGCCACAAACCCUGUCGUCCAGAAGCUCUUCUCUAGAACAGAUGACAUGGCAUGGAAAUGGCUGACUUAUUGUGAUCAACGCCAUGCAUUGUUUUGUUUUGUUUGUCUUGCUUAUAGCAAACCCAAUGAUUCAAGUGCUUUCAUUAGAGGCAUGGCAGACUGGAGGCAUGUGCACCAAAGAAUAGAGGAGCAUGAGAGAGGCAUGGCACACAGACAAUGUGCUGAGGCAUAAUUUUUAAACUGCUCAAGAGUGAACAUUUCUCACCUCCUUGAGGGAAGACAGCUGACAGGACACCGUGAGCAGGUGAAGAAGAGGCGUCAGGUGUUGGAACGUGUAGUGGAGGUAGUGAAAGUUCUAGGGAAGAGAGGCUUAAGCUACAGACAGGAGCACAAUGAAGCUGCAUACACCUUGGGCACUGAAAUCCUCGACCAUGGCAAUUUAUUAGAAUUAAUUAUAUUGUUGGGGAAAUAUGAUGUUUGCUUAAAAGAACAUCUCAACAAUGUAAUUGAGAAAAGCAAGGAGAUUCAUGCUUCCAGCACACAAGGCAGAGGUUCUCUGGUCACCCUCUUGUCCAAAAGAAUCGUGAAUUCAGUAAUUGAUUCCAUCAAGCAUUUAACUCAAGAGAGCAUCUCUGCAGAUAUCAAGAAAGCAGGGAUGUUUUCUGUGCAGCUUGACACAACCCAGGACAUCAUAGGGAAAGACCAGUGUUCUGUAAUUCUGAUCUCAUGAUGGCCUUUUUAUUGAAGUGGUGUCCACACUGCCAUAAUGAACCUGAAGACUCUUGCCACAAAUGCAAGAAGCAAGGCCAAAGGAUACAGAGACGGCUUACUCCGAUAUGAAACUGUGCUAACAGCUCAGUUAUUCUUGCGGAUAUUUGAAUUCACCUCACCGCUAUCAAAAUAUCUACAGACCAGUGGAAUGGACAUCCUCUCAGCACAUAGGAUGGUCACCACAACACAUGAGCCAUUGAAAAAGAUUGCAAGAGAUUUCCCGGCUGUCAAAGAUGCAGCUGACUGUUUUGUACAUGGCCUCAACAGCUGUUGAGGCCAUGCACCAAAGAUUCUUCACCCAUGACACCCUGUAUGCAGAUUUAUCCCUCCUUCAUCCCAGAAACUUUCCCCUUAUCAAGACCAGUGCUCUCCCUGAAUCUUCACUUGAAGAACUCAGCAAGUGCCUAGUUGUGUAUGACAGCAGGGCAACUGUUUCCAAUCUACAAAUUGAACUGAGAAACUUGGCACAGCAAUGGGACAUAAAAAACCGACUGAGAAGUUGCCUGUCUGCCAACAAACUGGAAGCCUUUAUGUUGAUGGCCAUCGAAAAGGAUGUCCUUGUGUCCCUUGAUAAUGACACAGUGAUUGACAGAGUUGCAGAGAAGAGUGAACUAAUGAAGAAGCUGCUUUUGUAAGGCUUCACUAGCUGCUUUCAGUUGCUCAAGUAAUCAUCCGGUGCCUUACAUGCUCUUGAGGAUUAUCAGAGGGCCAUUCAACAUUUUCUCAACCAGGUGCCCUACCCCAGAGAUGUUCCAGGUAUAUGCCUUUCAUUGGUGUGAACUUCACAGGCAUUCUUCACAUUUGCAUAUUUUCAGUGAAGGUUUGCCUUUUCCUGGUGUGGAGUUCACAUGCGUUCUUUGUUUAUUAGCACCAAGGGGCAUGCUGCCUUUUGUCUCAG